rnacentral:rRNA from 1 species
UACGGGGAGGCAGCAGUGGGGAAUAUUGCACAAUGGGCGAAAGCCUGAUGCAGCUAUGCCGCGUGUAUGAAGAAGGCCUUAGGGUUGUAAAGUACUUUCAUCGGGGAGGAAAAAACAAAACUAAUAAUUUUAUUUCUUGACGUUACCCGAAAAAGAAGCACCGGCUAACUCCGUGCCAGCAGCCGCGGUAAUACGGAGGGUGCUAGCGUUAAUCAGAAUUACUGGGCGUAAAGAGCACGUAGGUGGUUUUUUUAAGUCAGAUGUGAAAUCCCUGGGCUUAACCUAGGAACUGCAUUUUGAAACUGAAAUACUAGAGUAUCGUAGAGGGAGGUAGAAUUCUAGGUGUAGCGGUGAAAUGCGUAGAUAUCUGGAGGAAUACCUGUGGCGAAAGCGGCCUCCUAAACGAAUACUGACACUGAGGUGCGAAAGCGUGGGGAGCAAACGAGGGAUUAGAUACC